UGGGGAAUUUUGGACAAUGGGGGAAACCCUGAUCCAGCCAUCCCGCGUGUGCGAUGAAGGCCUUCGGGUUGUAAAGCACUUUUGGCAGGAAAGAAACGUCAUGGGUUAAUACCCCGUGAAACUGACGGUACCAGCAGAAUAAGCACCGGCUAACUACGUGCCAGCAGCCGCGGUAAUACGUAGGGUGCAAGCGUUAAUCGGAAUUACUGGGCGUAAAGCGUGCGCAGGCGGUUCGGAAAGAAAGAUGUGAAAUCCCAGAGCUCAACUUUGGAACUGCAUUUUUAACUACCGGGCUAGAGUGUGUCAGAGGGAGGUGGAAUUCCGCGUGUAGCAGUGAAAUGCGUAGAUAUGCGGAGGAACACCGAUGGCGAAGGCAGCCUCCUGGGAUAACACUGACGCUCAUGCACGAAAGCGUGGGGAGCAAACAGG
rnacentral:rRNA from 1 species